CAUCAGAGACUUUGACGCCGCUCGGUCUUCUGCUGCUGCCUCCUCCUCCGCCUCCUCCUCCUCUGCGCGGCCGCCGGGUGUCGGCCUUUGAGGGGGGGGGUACUGUCAUGAUCUGUGCUGCAUAACCAUCUCUGCUGAGUGUUUUACAGGUGGGUGUGUCUGGAGAGCCCAGCUGUGCCAAAUCAGCUCAUCAGCGAUCAGGGGAUUUAAGGAGCAGCUGGACAUCUCACCAUUGCCAGAUGAUACUCAGUCUUGGGUUCCAGUCAUCUGUUCAUCUCCACUCUCUGCUAUAUCUUUGGAACCAUCUACCACAUUCCAGUCCUGCUGUUUGCCCCUGAUCGCCAGCUCUCCAUCACCCCACCUAUCCACCUGCAGCUCCUCGGUCUCCCCAUCCAGCCAGGUCUGACUAACCCCCCCCCCCCCACAAAAUACCGGAUCAUUCAGGAAACAACCCCACGGAUCCCUCCAGUCCUGCAGAAGCUUCGGCUACCUCUCCCAUUCAAAAUAAAUCAUUUAAACUUA